ACAAGGCUGGUGAGGGGCUUGGAACACAAGGCCUGUGAGGAACAACUGAGUGAGCUGGGGGUGUUUAGCCUGGAGAAAAGGAGACUCAGGGGUGACCUUAUCACUCUCUACAACUCCCUGAAAGGUGGCUGUAGCCAGCUGCACAGCUGUAGUCUACAGAUGGAAGCUUAAAGAGCAAGGAGAACACCACCACCAUCCUUUUUAACAGCUUGCGGCAUCCCUAGAUUAGAUGGUCUGCAAAAAACCUAUGAUAAAGAGGCUUUCCACAGUACUUUAAACUAUGCUGCUCCAGAAGGUGCAGGGAACAAGAUGUCAAGGCAUCUAGUCAUUUUAUAAACAGUGUAAGAGGAGAAAAUUAAAGUUGGAGCCAGGUGAUUCUACACUACAGACUACUCCUCAGGUUUACUAACCAGAAUUUUUCGUUCCUUGCUCAAAUUUGUUCACAUCAAGUCCUGCAGAGAUACAGAGCAAAGAUUCCAUUUUGGCAUGUAAAGACCUGAAGCUGAGGUAAGGUAAUGAUGGUAUUCCCAUAGACCUUGAAAGAUCUGAUCAAAUAUAUCCACACGAGUCAAGAUGGUAAAAAUAUAAAGCAUCAAAUCCAACACAAAGCAGAAGCCCAGUCACUCACUCUAAUACAGAGAGAAGAAUAUGAGGUAACAUUCAAAGCAGAUGAAGGCCCAAGCUCUCUACUGUUAAAGGAAAUAAAAUUAUGCUGCCUCUAUCCACUUCUAAUGCCCCUCACAUAUGCUAUCCAUAUCUCCAUAUCAAUACCAUGACUAAGCACUGAGAAAGACAAAAAACACAGAUAACUCUUUCUGCUAUUAAGCCCCUUCCUCUGAGAAUCCUCAAGGGGUAUUUAUGGUGGGAUCAGAGUUACUGGAUGUGCAAAUUUCUACUUAAGAUAAAACAUGCUAAAACAACAGGAGCGAAAACAACCAAAGAGAAAACAAAAUUCAUUUAUGCAUGCAUUCAUUUUAAGAACUUGCUUAAACAGAUUAUUGUGCAUCAUUUUGUCACAAACAAGGAUUUGGAGAGAACUGGGCAUAAUGUUUGCUGUGUUGUGACACAGAAAAUUAAAAUCAUAUUUUUUUUCCUCUAAUUCUCCACAAAUAUCUUACUCAGGAGAGAGUACUUUGCUGACAGAAGCAGCAAUUGCCAGUAGCUCAGAGAUGCAGAAUUUUAGGCAUGAUAGCUCUAACCAUGUAGUCUCAGUCCCAGCCUUGGUAGGACCAACAGAAAGGGGUUUCCAAGGUUCAUGUGAGCCACUUAAAACAACUGGAAGGAAAUGACAAGUGAUAGAUAGAGGAACAUUGCUGUCCACUACAGGGGCCAGAAGCCUCAUAUCUGCUGAUCAGAUUUAUCAUUUAGGGAGAUUUGCUGCUUGUGUAGGGCUUUCAUUGACCAUGCUGUGGAGAGGCUACCAAGGCUUAUCUGGUCUUCUACUAUGCAGUGGUGCCUUUUCACGUGUGCCAAAGACACCACCAAGGGUGACCUGAAAAUUAUCAAGUGUAACUAGCAGGCUAGAGGGGAGCUGCUGAAGAGUGUGGACACGGAAGUGAUUUUCUCCAUUGUGCCCAAAGAGGCCUCAGAAGAAAUUGUGCAUGAACCACUGGUUGCAGAGCUGCUUCUCAUAGCAGACUUCUGAUUCCCACAACUGUGGCAGCCAUGGUGAGAAUUGGAAGAACAUAACCAGGUUCUAAGGAGAGGGAAAGCUAGCAGAGCAAAACAGAUAUUGUUGAGGUAGAUAAGCACAUACCUACUGUAUACCAGAUUAGGGAGGAUCAAAACAGGGAGAAGCAGGUUAAGGUGUGCUUCAAUGUCCUGUAUGUACACAUAUUUGUGGAACCACAUGGGUAUGACCCAAGUGUGCUGAGGCAGGUGAAGUGGCAUUGCAAGGCCGCUCUCAGUGUUCUUUGAAAGGUGGAGGUGAGUCAGAAAAGUUGCAAAUGACUGUCAGCCCUGCCUUCUAACCGUGUAAGGAAGAAGAUGAAUGAUCUACAGCUUCAUGCAAUCCUUUGGAAGAUGUUGGAGAAAAUCCUCUUGGAGAGCAUUUACAAAAGCAUGAAGAAUCAGAAGGUACUCAGGAGUAGUCAGCCUGGAUUUCUGAGCAGAAAACCAAAAACUGUUUACAAAACAAAUCCAAAGCUGUUGAACCUCUCCCUUAGUGACCUGCAGGAUGGGACAGCACAGACUCAAGCAAAUUUAGAGAGCAUAUAAAAGUGGAAGGAGUGGAAAGUGCAGUAGACAGCUGUGCUGCACUUCAGAGGAACCUCAAGCAGCAAAAUGCAGAGCUGGACAGGGAGGAAUGUGAUAAAGCACAGCAAGAGCAAUUGCACCAUCCUGCAGGUAAGGGGGAGUAGCUCCACACACUGGCACAAGCUGGGGACUUGUGAAGCUGACAAGCAGCUUUGCAGAGAAGUUCUGUGAGGUCCUUCUGGACAUUAAGCUGAGCUUGAACCAGCAGCACUGGCCUUUUGCAAAAAUGACCAUUACUAUCCUUAGCUGUAUUUAGAAGUGCAUUAAGAGCAGCUCAGGGGAAUUUGUCCUUCCUGUACCUUCAGUGCUAGUGAGGCGUGCUAAGUCCAGUCCUAAGCUCCCCGUACAGACAAGUUGUAGACAGACCGCAGUGGCUCCAGCACAAGCUCAGAGAUCGUGCUCUGAAAUAGUGCUGCAGCAUGUCCAAGGGGCAAUUCCUGAUUCUGCAACUUCACUUCAGUGCCCCCCUGCAGCUCGCAUCCACCCUGUCCUAGGGAUGGAUGCUACCCAGCCCAAGACAACAAGGGUGAUCUGCUGCUUCCCACUGCAGAGCAAACGAGAGGGCAUCAUGUCCAUGCUCUCCUCUCCUUGCAGCUCCUUGAGAACACCAAGGGUACAGCCUUGCAAGAAGAGAAGUAAAAUGAGAAUGAAAACUACUGUCUAGGUUUUAUUUUGCAGUUGACAGCUGCCCUGGAGUAGAGGGUGAAGAUGUGAAGUGUUGUGUUUCUAAAUCCAGCAGGCAAGCUAACACUACAGGGCUGUGUUUUACUCUGUCUUUGAGGUUAAACAGCCCAUAACACCAGAGUUGCAAAGGCGCUGCAGGCUCUUCCUCCCACAAAAAUGUGCCUGCUGCUGGCUUUUUCUAGGCUUUGUUCUGAGCAGUGAGACUGUAUCAGCCCCUGAGGAGGGACACAGUGCCUGCCCAGGCACUCUCACCAGCACAAGGUUCCUUACAAGACCAGGAGGUCACAGUGUCCUGAUGACAUGGCAGAUGCACAUAAGUUCCCAGCACAGUCUUCCUACAGCAAUUUCCACCAUUGUUUCUCCUUACACUGCCCUAAAAUGUGCUAAAAAAACCAUUUAAAAUUACAUCGUAAAUGCAGCCAUGAGCAUUUCCAUGCCCAAAGCUGUAACAGAUCAACAAACCACUGCGGUGAAAGACAGCUCCGAGGACAUGAGCACAAGCGAUGGUUCUUCAGAUUUCCAUCACCAUGGGCUACCAUGCCCAUGGGAAUCAGAGGAAAACAAAGCAAAACAAAAACAACAAAAUGAGCUUUAAAGAGACUACCGACUUGAGCUGGCUUCAGACCACACAUUUUUUCCUGGUGACUGGAAAUACCCAGCAUCAUGACAGUAAGCGUAAUUGGAAUUUUGCUUGUAUUGUGACCUAGCUGCAGGUUGCAGGUACUGUCUCAUGCUUUGUCCAUGCUGCUUCAGUCUGCUAAAUCAAAAUGCUGUCUUCAAAUAAGUAAAUUUGGUAAUAACGCAUUCAACCCUCUUCAUGUGGAAUAUCUAAAAGAGCCUGGUCCGAGUUGUACUGCACAAGAACCAAGAUUGCAAGACAGCAGCAAACACCUCACCACACAGAAUGCAUCUCCAGCAGGACUGAGUUCACUCAAGGCAACACACACAGCAAUUCAGAACAGUGUGCAAUGGCCGCCCCUUUGUGGCAUCAAGGGCAACUAGGAACGACGUAAAAAGGGCCAUCUGCAU